rnacentral:rRNA from 1 species
CGUGGGGAACCUGCCCCAUAGUCUGGGAUACCACUUGGAAACAGGUGCUAAUACCGGAUAAGAAAGCAGAUCGCAUGAUCAGCUUUUAAAAGGCGGCGUAAGCUGUCGCUAUGGGAUGGCCCCGCGGUGCAUUAGCUAGUUGGUAAGGUAAAGGCUUACCAAGGCGAUGAUGCAUAGCCGAGUUGAGAGACUGAUCGGGCCACAUUGGGACUGAGACACGGCCCAAACUCCUACGGGAGGCAGCAGGC